rnacentral:rRNA from 1 species
UACGUAGGGUGCAAGCGUUGUCCGGAAUUAUUGGGCGUAAAGAGCUCGUAGGCGGUCUGUCACGUCGGACGUGAAAAUCCAGGGCUCAACCCUGGACCUGCGUUCGAUACGGGCAGACUAGAGUUCGGUAGGGGAGACUGGAAUUCCUGGUGUAGCGGUGAAAUGCGCAGAUAUCAGGAGGAACACCGGUGGCGAAGGCGGGUCUCUGGGCCGAAACUGACGCUGAGACGCGAAAGCGUGGGGAGCGAACAGG